GAUAACCAGGAAAAAGAUUUGAUGUCCAAAAUGAUAGAAGAGGAUGAAGAAGAAUCUUAGGAAUCAGAUAUGCUUCGAUAGGUGAUGAGGUUAAUAGUCCAGCAAGUACACAAGAGUUGAAACAAAAAGUGGUUCGUUGUGAGGACAGUGAUACUGCCAAGAGAUGCCUCCUGGAUCAGUUCUCUUCAUCAAAUAAGAUCAAAAAGUCAAAGUUUACUAAUAUUAAACAGGAGAAACUGUAAUUUAAGUUUGAAUACUUUGGUGUUUGUUUUGUUAUGCUUUUUUGGCACUACCUGAACUUUGUAUGAUGAACUGUUAAUUUUUGGUUAAAUAGUACUGUGUGAGUGCUAUUGGACA